rnacentral:lncRNA from 1 species
ACUUUGUGAUAUUUCCUGAAAACUUGCAACUAUUAUAAAAUCAUUUUAAAACCCUGUGUUACUUAAGUCAGUAUGGAAUGUGAGAUGGUAAAGUAUGAGUUUCUUAUUCUUGAUAUCAUUGUUGCUUGGAGAAUUUAUUUCAAAAUCUUCAAAAUUCUAGCUACCAUCCUCAGUGUUUUAUAUGCCUGAUAAAACUGAAAAUAUUAAUUAUGAUUAUAAAGGCUAUCUACUCUGUAUUGAGUUUGUUCAAAAUGAGUUAGACCCUUGUUGAGAGAUUUAUCAUGCUCCUAAGAUCAAGACAUUUAUUCAGAAAGAUUCACUCUUCCAAAGUAUUAUUGCAUUAGAGGCAUGGGCUAUGCAAAAAUAAAGAUAUUUUGAGGAAAUAAAAAGGAGCAAGUGCUCGAUAACCACGCAGAAAAAAAUGGACAAGCGUCCAGCAGUAGAAUUAGGGGUAUCUCGGUAUCCAUUUAAAAAAAAGAGAAGAAAUAGAAAAAGAAAAUGAUAGCCCAUGGUCCCUCUAAUAAGCAAUAUGCCAACAAGAGUUGACAAAGAUUUUUAUUUCCAAAGUCUUUGAUCUAAGAGUAUGACAUUCCCCUCCACGGAUCCAGUUUUGAUCAGGAAAUAAAUACAAGGUAAGUAUGCUUGAGAAUUUUUGCAAAUUAAAACAGCCUCAGUGAGAUAUAUAUAAAAGAUAAAUGAGUGAUCUGAGAAGACCUAUGAGGAUAAACGGUAUGCUAACUUUCUUUCAAAAAUAUACAAAAACUCCAAGUGACAGGAUUGAGAAGAAAGGAUCUCUACUCUUAACCAUAUACUUCCCUAACUAUAGUUCACAGUGGAUUUUAGCACCCUGUAGUUAUGAAGAGAAUAUUUUAAAAAUGUUUUACCCC